rnacentral:rRNA from 1 species
AACGAACGCUGGCGGCAGGCUUAACACAUGCAAGUCGAACGCCCCGCAAGGGGAGAGGCAGACGGGUGAGUAACGCGUGGGAACAUACCCUUUCCUGCGGAAUAGCUCUGGGAAACUGGAAUUAAUACCGCAUACGCCCUACGGGGGAAAGAUUUAUCGGGGAAGGAUUGGCCCGCGUUGGAUUAGCUAGUUGGUGGGGUAAAGGCCUACCAAGGCGACGAUCAAUAGCUGGUCUGAGAGGAUGAUCAGCCACAUUGGGACUGAGACACGGCCCAAACUCCUACGGGAGGCAGCAGUGGGGAAUAUUGGACAAUGGGCGCAAGCCUGAUCCAGCCAUGCCGCGUGAGUGAUGAAGGCCUUAGGGUUGUAAAGCUCUUUCACCGAUGAAGAUAAUGACGGUAGUCGGAGAAGAAGCCCCGGCUAACUUCGUGCCAGCCGCCGCGGUAAUAC